GGAAGAUGAGUGUUACUAUGACUCAGCAAUUUUAUUUCUAGGUGUAUACUAUUAGCCUAGAGUGUUCUCCCCCAAACUUCCUCUAGGAUAAGAAUCACUCAGAGUGGGUGGGUGGGAGACUUAUGAAACACACAUCUUCCCCGACUAGAAUGAGAGGGUGAGCACAGGGCAUGUCAGGGUAUGGGGUCAGGGGUCCCAAAGGACUUAGCUUGUGUUGUGGCCACUGAGAGAUGAAAGACAGAUCUUUGGUAAUCUGACAAAA